CGGGGCGUAGCGCAGCCCGGUAGCGCGCCAGCUUCGGGAGCUGGAUGUCCGCGGUUCAAAUCCGCGCGCCCCGACCA
rnacentral:tRNA from 1 species